AUGGCUGGUACAAAGCAGACUGCCCGCAAAUAGACCGGUGGUAAAGCACCCAGGAAGCAACUGGCUACAAAAGCCGCUCGCAAGAAUGCGCCCUCUACUGGAGGGGUGAAGAAACCUCAUCGCUACAGGCCUGGUACUGUGGCGCUCCGUGAAAUUAGACGUUAUCAGAAGUCCACUGAACUUCUGAUUCGCAAACUUCCCUUCCAGCGUCUGGUGCGAGAAAUUGCUCAGGACUUUAAAACAGAUCUGCGCUUCCAGAGCGCAGCUAUCGGUGCUUUGCAGGAGGCAAGUGAGGCCUAUCUGGUUGGCCUUUUUGAAGACACCAACCUGUGUGCUAUCCAUGCCAAACGUGUAACAAUUAUGCCAAAAGACAUCCAGCUAGCACGCCGCAUAGGUGGAGAACGUACUUAAGAAUCCACUAUGAUGGGAAACAUUUCAUUCUCAAAAAAAAAAAAAAAAAAAAAAUUCUCUUCUUCCUGUUAUUGGUAGUUCU